rnacentral:rRNA from 1 species
UACAGAGGUCUCAAGCGUUGUUCGGAUUCAUUGGGCGUAAAGGGUGCGUAGGUGGCGCUGUAAGUCGGGUGUGAAAUUUCGGAGCUCAACUCCGAAACUGCAUUCGAUACUGCGGUGCUUUGAGGACUGGAGAGGAGACUGGAAUUCAUGGUGUAGCAGUGAAAUGCGUAGAGUCAUGAGGAAGACCAGUGGCGAAGGCGGGUCUCUGGACAGUUCCUGACACUGAGGCACGAAGGCCAGGGGAGCAAACGGGG